GGGUGCAGAGUUAUUCUGCGAUCUCAAUGAGAAAAGAUGUAGAGGUGGCAAAAGACAAUUUUGCAAACUUCCUAAAUGUGUCUACACUGAAGUUACUGCUUUCCUUCAGCAACCUGGAUUUGAUUAUAAGGAUGACUGAAUAGUAUAAACCAGAAAUAAUCCUUCAAUUUCAAGUUAAAGAGGGUAUGGUCAGAGCUGACAGGCAGAAGAAUGAGCUGAUCCUGCGGAAACUGGAAUUUCCUGCCCCUAAAGGUGAUCACAUCCCCGAGGAAGGACCAAUGGCGUACACUGCAGGACGAGAACAUCAGAGAGGUACUACUAUGUGGCAACAAAUGGAAAAUCAUCCGAUAAAUUUUAGUUGACUGAAAGCAACUAAAGCAAGAAGAGUCAGGCUGCAGGAAACAAGCUUAAGGAUUAGAUAUGCCAUACAAAGAAUUAUUAAAAAAAAAAAAACAACAGGAAAGGACACCAAAAUAUGAUUAUUCAAUCAUGAGGAACAAUGAGCCUAUCAAAACUGCAUACUGGACAAAUGAAAAUUGACUUGAUGCUCAUCAAAUAAAUGGACAAGGAAAGAUAAAAAUCUGAAUGAAAUUUAGUUUCUAAGUAGUCCCUGCUAGCUACUGCUAAAUGACAUAAUAAUCCUAUUCUUCCUGACCUUGGGACUCCUAAUAAAUAUUAUUAUCUACCCCGUGCCCCAAGAACCUAAUAGAAUAACUCAUUGGCACCAACUUGCCAGAAGCUAAUUUCUUAAUUCAACUUUUAAGAGUUUGUAGAUGAAUAAGAGUAGGCAAUGAUAACAUAGAAGAGCUGAAGCAUCAAAUAAUAGUUUUUAGUAAACUCUCAAGCACUAAGUUAUUCCUGAGAUUAAAAUCUCUUCUUUGUUAUCUUCCGUUAUGGAAAGAGCACAAGUUUUGGG